rnacentral:rRNA from 1 species
UACGGGAGGGGCUAGCGUUGUUCGGAAUUACUGGGCGUAAAGCGCGCGUAGGCGGCUCAUCAAGUCAGAGGUGAAAGUCCGGAGCUCAACUCCGGAUCUGCCGUGCCGACUGUCAAACUCGAGGGCUGUAGAGGCAGACGGAAUUCCGGGUGUAGCGGUGGAAUGCGUAGAGAUCCGGAGGAAGACCGGUGGCGAAGGCGGUCUGCUGGGCAGUUUCUGACACUGAGGCGCGACGAGCGUGGGGAGCAAACAGG